rnacentral:tRNA from 1 species
AGCUAGGUGAUUCAGUGGAUAGAGUGUCAGACUUGUGGUCUGGAGGGCUUGGGUUCAAAUCUGGCCUUAGCUA